UACGGAGGAUCCGAGCGUUAUCCGGAUUUAUUGGGUUUAAAGGGUGCGCAGGCGGGAGAUUAAGUUGGCGGUGAAAUUUUGCAGCUCAACUGUAAAAGUGCCUUCGAAACUGGUUUCCUUGAGUGUGGAUGAAGUAGGCGGAAUUUGUGGUGUAGCGGUGAAAUGCAUAGAUAUCACGAGGAACUCCGAUUGCGCAGGCAGCUUACUAAACCAUAACUGACGCUCAGGCACGAAGGCGUGGGGAUCAAACAGGAUUAGAUACCCUGGUA
rnacentral:rRNA from 1 species